CCUACGUGAGGCAGCAGUGGGGAAUAUUGCACAAUGGGGGAAACCCUGAUGCAGCGACGCCGCGUGAGUGAAGAAGUAAUUCGUUAUGUAAAGCUCUAUCAGCAGGGAAGAAAAUGACGGUACCUGAGUAAGAAGCCCCGGCUAACUACGUGCCAGCAGCCGCGGUAAUACGUAGGGGGCAAGCGUUAUCCGGAUUUACUGGGUGUAAAGGGAGCGUAGACGGCAGUGCAAGUCUGGAGUGAAAGGCGGGGGCUCAACCCCCGGCCUGCUCUGGAAACUGUACGGCUGGAGUGCAGUAGAGGUAAGUGGAAUGCCUAGUGUAGCGGUGAAAUGCGUAGAUAUUAGGAGGAACACCAGUGGCGAAGGCGGCUUACUGGACUGUAACUGACGUUGAGGCUCGAAAGCGUGGGGAGCAAACAGGAUUAGAUACCCCAGUAGUC
rnacentral:rRNA from 1 species